rnacentral:misc_RNA from 1 species
UCCGGUUUGACACCGGCAGUCUCGCUAGAGUCCCCGCCAUUACGCGUUGGCAACUAGCGACAGGGGUUGCGCUCGUUAAGGGACUUAACCCGACACUUCACAGCACGAGCUGACGACAGCCAUGCAGCACCUGUGUACGUUCCACCCGAGGGUGUGGCUCUACUUUCAUAAAGUUAAUCCGUACAUGUCAAGCCCAGGUAAGGUUCUUCGCGUUGCUUCGAAUUAAGCAACAUGCUCCACCGCUUGUGUGAGCCCCCGUCAAUUCCUUUGAGUUUUAGCCUUGCGACCGUACUUCCCAGGCGGCGCACUUAACAAUUUCUCUCCGACCGACACGGGGUCAAACCCGCGCCGAUCCAGUGCGCAUCGUUUAAGGCGUGGACUAC